rnacentral:rRNA from 1 species
CCAAUAGCGUAUAUUAAAGUUGUUGCAGUUAAAAAGCUCGUAGUUGAAUUUCGGGAUCAGUGGGUCGGUCGUGCCACUGGUAUGCACUGGCUCUACUGGUUCCUCCUUCUUGAAGAACUGUAAUGCCAUUAAUUUGGUGUUGCAGGGAAACAGGACUGUUACUUUGAAAAAAUUAGAGUGUUUAAAGCAGGCAAAUCGCUUGAAUACAUUAGCAUGGAAUAAUGAAAUAGGACGUUCGAUCCUAUUUUGUUGGUUUCUAGGAUUGACGUAAUGAUUAAUAGGGAUAGUUGGGGGCAUUAGUAUUCAAUUGUCAGAGGUGAAAUUCUUGGAUUUAUUGAAGACUAACUACUGCGAAAGCAUUUGCCAAGGAUGUUUUCAUUAAUCAAGAACGAAAGUUAGGGGAUCGAAGACGAUCAGAUACCGUCGUAGUCUUAACCAUAAACUAUGCCGACUAGGGAUCGGAUGAUGUUAAUUUUUUAAUGACUCAUUCGGCGCCUUACG